UACGUAGGCAGCAAGCGUUGUUCGGAAUUACUGGGCGUAAAGAGUGUGUAGGCGGUUUUCUAAGUUCGGUGUGAAAUCUCCCGGCUUAACUGGGAGGGUGCGCCGAAAACUGGAAGGCUUGAGUGCCGGAGAGGAUAGCGGAAUUCCCGGUGUAGCGGUGAAAUUCGUAGAUAUUGGGAAGAACACCGGUGGCGAAGGCGGCUCACUGGCCCGUAACUGACGCUCAUGCACGACAGCGUGGGGAUCAAACAGG
rnacentral:rRNA from 1 species